CAAUAAAAAAAAAAAAAAUGUACCGGCGUGGGGAAUCGAAGGUGGUGCCGUGAUAAGUUCGUUCCGCGCUUGUAUAUUUGUGGUGUUUAUUGAUAUUAUGUGUGCCAAUCACCGUUGUCAGUCGUCGACUGGAAGUGUAUCGCGUGUGGGAUGGAAUGGGCGGCCAAAGGUGUGUCAAGAUCUUGUGUUGGUGUUCUGUGGUGUGUCGUCGUAGCCUCAACGGGCUCGUCGCUUUGUCUGCGCGCUCAGCGCUGCGUGAUCGGCGUGCUUUACACGUUUCUUGAUUACUCACGGUUAUUGCGUGGUUCAGUCGAGUGCAUCUACUCAGACAGUCCGCCGCCCAGUGCCUUGUCUGACGACGACGGCGACUGUAAAGCACAAGCGUGCGCCUCAGCGGAUGCCUAGGUAAGGCAGCCCGGGUGGCGUGUUCACACAGCAGUGAUGAUGUACGAGAAAAGUUGUCUGAUAGGCAAGUAUGGAUUCUGCUACAGAAUGGCCCACGAACCCAACUUCCGAGCGGCACGCCUACCGGCCGAACAUCGGAGUGACCCGCCUGUGCGCAGCUUGAUCUGCCUACCACGCGUCGGCCUCGGUCAUCAUCUCACCGGCCUCGCCUUUCAUCUCUACCACCUGGAAAGCCGGCGUGGCCGACGGAGACGACUGACUGUUCAAGGAACUGAAGCAGUGGACAGCUUGCUGUGAAAGAUGGGAGCAUUCUUCCUCUGGUCCGGACAAGGCCAUAUUAAGUGGGAGAUGUUCAAUAUCCACCCGAUGAGAGGCAGCAAAUGUGGAAAUGGACGCAAGUCAAGGACAGCUGCAGACAGCAAAAUAUUGAAACUGAUACAACGAUUGUGCUGAAUCACCGAAGAUAUGAGCCAGAGUGCGAACAGUAUACUCGUACAGUUUCGCAGAAUAAACCC
rnacentral:lncRNA from 1 species